CCCAGACUCCUACGGGAGGCAGCAGUGGGGGAUAUUGCACAAUGGGGGGAACCCUGAUGCAGCGACGCCGCGUGGGUGAAGGAGCGUUUCGGCGCGUAAAGCCCUAUCGGCAGGGAAGAAGGAGGACGGUACCUGACUAAGAAGCCCCGGCUAACUACGUGCCAGCAGCCGCGGUAAUACGUAGGGGGCAAGCGUUAUCCGGGUUUACUGGGUGUAAAGGGGGCGCAGACGGCAGCGCAAGCCAGGAGUGAAAGCCCGGGGCCCAACCCCGGGACUGCUCUUGGAACUGCGCGGCUGGAGUGCAGGAGGGGCAGGCGGAAUGCCUGGUGUAGCGGUGAAAUGCGUAGAUAUCAGGAGGAACACCGGUGGCGAAGGCGGCCUGCUGGACUGCGACUGACGUUGAGGCCCGAAAGCGUGGGGAGCAAACAGGAUUAGAUACCCCUGUA
rnacentral:rRNA from 1 species